rnacentral:lncRNA from 1 species
UUUUAAAGUUGAAAAAACUUGUUUAAGGAGUAUUUCGAGUGAAGUAAUGGUUUCACUCACGAUACUUCAACUUUUUCUGAGUGAAAUUCAUGUCACACCUGUUUGAGACGUCUUUUCUUCCCCUUUCAGACGGAGCUGAAAUAUAAGGAAGAAAAGGCCUGCUAGUCGCCUUUAGUUCCAUAAUUUCUAUGCAACUAAUGAUCCUCAUGGUUGUUAUGCUUUUGCUUGCUGGGUGUUUUGUGGAAAUUGUUAAUGCUGCUUGCAAAUUUUUUAGUACUAAUAUCUACGCUCUGGGUGUUUUGAGAAUGGGGCAGUUUUAAUUCUUAUUCAGAGUGACACUUUGGCCCUUGCGUGAUC